AUUAGGUAGAUGCAGAACCUUCCUCUCUUUCUGACCAACUUCAGUUCCUGGUCAACUGUUGACAAUGCAAAUCAGCUGGCUUUCUAUCCUUAUCCUUUCAGGAAUGAUCUUGCUUUGUGCGGGAAAAAAAUCUUCAGAGAAGUGUCAGCGCAAGGGUGGAGUUUGUUUAAAGAAGAGUAAAUGUUUAGGAACACGUAUUGGAAAAUGUGGGCUAUUGAAAGUAUGCUGUAUGGCUUCUCCUGGUAUGGGGUGGAAUGGCAUGGUCCCUCCUUCAAAUAUGGGAUACAACGUUGGAAAUGUUGUCGGUGGUAUUGCUGGUGUGAUAGCUGCAACUACAAUGAUGAACAGGGGCAAUGCUAUGUACCUAAAGAGAGCAACUGCAGGUGAUGCCACCACUUCAACUUAGAACCCAGUUAUUCGUCAACUGCACCGGCUCUGGAAACUGUCUGGCUAGGACUUGCUCCCUGAGUGAUCCAGGACUUCAUUUGACAUCGCUGGUUGGUCCUUGUGGGGCAGGAUACUUUAAUAAACUACCACUGGACUAUUUUGAAGAAUGUGUCCGUUUAAUUGAUCUGCGCAUGAGAGGGGCACAAUAAAAAAGCAAUUGAUAGCACUUUGUAACAAAAUGUUUGUCAUUUCCUAAUUGCUUCUAUCAUCAAACAUGGAAUUUUUUUAUUAAACUACAAAAACUUUGUUCUUGUGGGAGGAACUAUAGUAUUUCUAUAGUAUUUUUGCUAUAGUAUUUCAAUGAAUAUCUCAUAGAGUCUCAACCAGUUCAACAUAUAAUGGGCUUAAUACUCUAGCUCUGGUUGAUACAAUGGGAUUAGCCCAGAUAAAUAAUGGGUGCUAUUAGGUGAUAGCCAUAUCAAUGGGUGCCACAGGGAUGGGUCUGGCUUGGAGCAUGGGAGAGGAAAUGCUCCCAAAGACAGCCCAGAUCAUAUUAGGUGAAACAGGAAAAAGGAUCCAGGGGCUAUGACAUAAACCCAUUGUGCUCACCUCAGUCUCCCAGUCAAUUGUGAAAGGAUUAUCAAAAUCUUCUCUGGGUCCAUAGCAUUGUGAGGCAGCAUUUCAGGAAAUUCAUAAAGAAGAUUUAUGACAAUCGGAAAUAUCCAUGUGAACUCCCUAUAUUUCUCAAUGGAAUCAAGUUUCAUAAUUCAUAAUUUUGGGGUCAAUUUUUUGAUAACAAAUAUAUGAGAGAAAGCAAUGGAAGAAGGAAAGAAAAGAAUGAGGGAGGCAUUAUAUAUGGGAAAUUGAGGAGGGAAAGAACAAAGCCAUAAAGAAAGCUUUCCCAUUGUUGCCAGACUGUUGCCAUGGAGACAUUGUGAGGUAGGCAUUCUCAGAUCUGGAGAAGCUAGAAAGCAGGUGAGAAGCAGCCCCUCCAACACUAACACUUUGAAAUAUUGAUGAGAUAGCCUGCUUGUUUUCCACUGCUCUGGAAACUAGAACUGCAGGAAAAGAGAUUCCACCUAAAUAUUAGGAGAAACCUCCUUAUGGUGAGAGCUGUUCCAUAGUGGAAUAUGCUUCCUUAGAAUGUGGUGGAAGUCUUCUUCUCUGGAGAUUUUUUUAGGGGGGCUGGAUGACUAUCUGUCAGGAGCGCUUUGAUGAUAUGUAACCUGCAUAAACAGAAUGGGGUUGGAGUAGAUGGCCUUUCUAGCUUUUUCCAACUCCAUGAUUCUAUGGACCUCUUCACAACGGUGUUUUUUUAUUCCUGUUUGUCCAGUUGACGGGACCUGUCGAGCGUCAUCAGACGAUGAUUGGCAGGUCCCACCCACAUUCCUCCUAAAGUGGAGGGGAAGCGUCACAAGAUGCUUCUUCCUCCACGACAGAGAGAAAAGUGUUUUCGGGUAGCUCUGAUGGAGCUACCUGCACUUUCCUCUACUUUUCCCCAUAUGAUGGGUGAAGGAGCGAUGGGGCUGCCUUGUGUCAUUCCCACCAUAUGAUGGGGGAGCAGGGAGGGUGUGCAGGAUGCCACGAGUUGCCCUGUUCACCUUCCUUUUCACUGGCAACUGCCGGCAAAACAGCAUGGCCCCAGGGGUCCUGUGAAGUGGUCCUAUAUUUCUACAAUGUCAUUUUAUAGCAUCAUUUCAAAAACGAUUAUAAAGAAGGAAAAGUUAUUGUGCCAAAUUGCUAUGUGUGUGUGUAAAGAAAUCCUUGCAAAGUUGCUUGCAAAAGAUCUCUGCAAAAAGGGAGCUGAGCUUUUACAGAGGCAAGCCACACCUUAAACAAUGUAUCGGUUUGCUGGCAGAUGGCUGGUUUUGUCAGCUGGGAAUCUGAGCUUUCAGGGAGAGCACAGAAAAGACAGGCUCUCUAGCUACGGUCAAGUAGCAGUUUAAAUAUGCUAUGCUGGAUAUAUUGAAUGCUGAUUGAUUAGUUAUUGAUCCUAUGCAACUACAAGGACAUUGUACGAUUGCUGAACUGUUUACUUAACUUCAACUCAACAAGUAAAGUUCCUUUGUUCUUUCAA